rnacentral:misc_RNA from 1 species
AAGUCGUAACAAGGUCUCCGUUGGUGAACCAGCGGAGGGAUCAUUACUGAGUAUCUUACUCUCUACCCUUUGUGAACUAUUAUACCUGUUGCUUCGGCAGCACUCUUAGUGGGUGACCGCUAGAGGGGUAAGGCUGUCAGAAGCCCACUAUCAAACUAGUUGAUGAAAUGUCUUGCGGUCUGAUACAUACUAUUUGAGAAAUCAAAUUACGUUAAAACUUUCAGCAACGGAUCUCUUGGUUCUC